GCCUGGAUUAUGCAGACCCUAAAAGGAAGAGUAAUUAUGUAGGGAAGAUUCUAUUGGCUGCUUCCCUCACAGCAUUGUGCAUUAUUUUGCUCAAACAAUCCCCAACAUUCAAUACCCCAAGCCCGUUUUCAUUGCAUGAAGAAGGGGUGACUCAUGUGCUUGUGACUGGUGGUGCUGGAUACAUUGGUUCACAUGCUGCGAUGCGGCUUCUGAAGGAUGGUUACAGAGUAACCAUAGUGGAUAACCUCUCACGGGGAAAUCUUGGUGCUGUCAAAGUUCUACAAGAAUUAUUUCCAGAACCUGGGAGGCUACAGUUCAUAUAUGCUGACUUGGGAGAUGCAAAAGCUGUUAACAAAAUAUUUUCAGAAAAUGCAUUUGAUGCUGUGAUGCACUUUGCUGCUGUUGCGUAUGUUGGGGAAAGCACCAUGGAUCCUCUUAAGUACUAUCACAACAUUACAUCAAAUACCUUGGUAGUCCUGGAGUCAAUGGCUGCACAUGAGGUGAAGACUUUGAUAUAUUCAAGUACAUGUGCAACAUAUGGGGAGCCUGAGAAGAUGCCCAUUACUGAAGACACUCCACAGGUCCCAAUUAAUCCAUAUGGAAAAGC
rnacentral:misc_RNA from 1 species